rnacentral:rRNA from 1 species
CAGCAGCCGCGGUAAUACGUAGGGUGCAAGCGUUAAUCGGAAUUACUGGGCGUAAAGCGUGCGCAGGCGGUGAUGUAAGACAGUUGUGAAAUCCCCGGGCUCAACCUGGGAACUGCAUCUGUGACUGCAUCGCUGGAGUACGGCAGAGGGGGAUGGAAUUCCGCGUGUAGCAGUGAAAUGCGUAGAUAUGCGGAGGAACACCGAUGGCGAAGGCAAUCCCCUGGGCCUGUACUGACGCUCAUGCACGAAAGCGUGGGGAGCAAACAGGAUUAGAUACCCUGGUAGUCCACGCCCUAAACGAUGUCAACUGGUUGUUGGGUCUUCACUGACUCAGUAACGAAGCUAACGCGUGAAGUUGACCGCCUGGGGAGU